UACGUAGGGUGCAAGCGUUAAUCGGAAUUACUGGGCGUAAAGCGUGCGCAGGCGGUCUGUUAAGACCGAUGUGAAAUCCCCGGGCUUAACCUGGGAACUGCAUUGGUGACUGGCAGGCUUUGAGUGUGGCAGAGGGAGGUAGAAUUCCACGUGUAGCAGUGAAAUGCGUAGAGAUGUGGAGGAAUACCGAUGGCGAAGGCAGCCUCCUGGGCCAACACUGACGCUCAUGCACGAAAGCGUGGGGAGCAAACAG
rnacentral:rRNA from 1 species